rnacentral:lncRNA from 1 species
AUUCCGCCACAAGCGAACGAGCCUGGGCUGGCCUUGUGGAAGCCUAGCCGAGGCCUCAGAAUAUGGAUGAGAUCAUCUGAGACCAUCCACCCCAGGAAGCCAGCAAAGUGGCUAGAACCCGCCAUACCACCGCAGAAUCACGAUUGCUGUUCUGAGUCACUACAUUUCAGGUGACUUGUUGAGCAGCAAACGAGCUGACGAACCUAAAGUCAGAAGAUGCUAGCGGAAGAAACAGGACCCAGAACUCCAUUGGAAAAUGGGGUAUACAGACUUCGAGGAUGCCAGACAAAAAGAUCAUUUGAAAUAUUGUUGUCACUAAGCCUUCUUUGAUCAAGACACCAUGAGCUCAUGGUAAACGCCUCAAUUUCCUUCUUCUGUAAAUAAAUUAAUACCUGGUGAGAUGUAAAAGCCCACUUGAACGGAAAACAACAUGUUUGAUGAAAUUCUGAGAGAAGAUACAACCCAAGAUAAAAAGAGAGGGGAGAGUGGAGUAAAGAACUGCCUAACCUAAUGUAAGUUUUCAGCUUUCAAUAAAUAUUUCCAGCUUAAACCCUCUGAAUAGAUUGUGAGUAUGUUUGUUCAUCUGAAUUGAAUUUUGGUGGUAUAAUGUACAAAGACUUUUUCUUAUCGCAGUUUAGUUCAAACCUGGGGUGGGCAAACUUUUUUUUUUUUUUUUUUUUGUAAAGAGCAAGAUACUAAAUGACUUAGGCUUAGGCUUUGCAGAUCAAAAGCAAAAUUGAGGAUAUUGUGUAGGGACUUCGUAUGACAAGAAAGGUAACUCUUGCCCCUUCACCAUCCUCUUUGUCCGAUGGGCCCUUCUGGACCAUGAGUGCACUUCAUACACGGUCACUGUCAGCUGGAGGGAAACUUUCUCCAGACAUUUGAGGGAUUGGGGCCCAGUGGGCUGGCAGGACUGUGUGGGGAUGGGGAAGGAUGGGUGGUUACAGACACAGUAACAGAGGGGAAUGGAGGUGGAGGGGGACACCCCAGAUUGGUUUCUGUGUCCUCUGAAGCAGCACACAUGAGCCAUAUGAAAAUAGGCAUUGGUCUGGAUUUGGCCUGAGCUCCAGCUAUCUGUUGUACAUUUCCUCUUAGCUACUUGGCAGGCUCUUUAAAGAAAGACAUUCCAAACUGAACUCAUUAUUACCUUCUUCCUUCUGUGCCCUAUUUCUAUAAAUAACACCACUACUGAUCCAUUGCCCAAGUCAGAAGCUUUGUGUUCGUUUUCCACACCUUCUUUCCUUCAUCUUCCUUUGUAGUCCCCCUUUUUUUCUUUUUUGCCAUAUAGCUACUGGGCUGGAAGCAACUAAAAGACAAGAAUACAUCUGGCUUAUAUUUAUGUGAUGAACUCUCUGUAGAGUGGCUGACACUGAGUAGGUUUUUAAAAAAAUUGGUUGUGGAAUUAAUCUAUCCAUCACCAAGCCCAGUCAAUUCCUCUUGAUUAUUUUAUUCUCCCACUCAAAAUUCUUCAAUUGGUUUCCUUUGGAUAGAGAGUAAAUAUAAAAUAGUUACCAGGCUGCAAAACUCUUCCAGUUUUGACUUUGCUUAUCCUAAAGAAUAACCAUAGAGAAUCGCAUUAAAUAUACUAACAUCUCUCAUCUGUUGUGUGUCUGUCAGGCCAUGUUGUUUCCACUGCCUGGAGCAUGCCUUCCCUCUGUUUUUAUAUGGUGACCCCCAACUCAUCCUUCCUGAUUUGACUUAGUUAUCACAUGCAGAAAGGCUUCCCAAGUACCAGCCUACUCGAUAGGUGUCUGUUCUCAGAGCAUCAGGACUCUACCUCUUUCAAAACAUUUCAUCAGUCUGGGCAUGAUGUCUCAUGCCUGUAAUCCCAGCACUUUGGGAGGCCAAGGCAGGUGGCUCACCUGAGGUCAGGAGUUCAAGACCAGCCUGACCAACAUGGUGAAACCGUGUCUCUACUAAACAUACAAAACUAGCCAGAUGUGGUGGCGCACGCCUGUAAUCCCAGCUACAUGGGAGGCUGAGGCAGGAGAAUCACUUGAACCUGCGAGGCAGAGAUUGUAGUGAGCUGAGAUCACACCAUUGCACUCCAGCCUGGGCAACAAGAGUGAAACUUUAUCUUAAACAAAACAAAACAAGACAAUACUUCAUCAGUGCUAAGAUUAGUUGCUAAGUGUGUUUAGCUCUUACUAGAUUAUAUACAGCUUGAAGGGAAGACUUUGUCUUUGUUUCUUUGCAUCCUAGUUUGGCGCUUGGAAUACAGCAGACAAGAAAUGAUCAUCUGACUGAAAUGAACAGGAUGCAUACCUCAGUGUAACUGAGAAACCGCAGAACAUCAUCCACAUUCAUGCAGACCUAAGAAGGCAUUUCUAGGCUCCUCUGGGCCUUUCCCAAGCCUUCUAUUUGUCUGGAGCCAGAGGGAACCAACUAUGAUCAAGCUGUAUCAGGGUUUGUUUUGUGUGCUGAAAGUCACAAGGUUCCAAAGGGAAAGGAUCUGGCAGGAGAGGAAAGAGGAUAAAAAUGGUUGGGGGGACCUCCUCUUUUAGCUUUGGAGCUCCCCCCCAGACUGUCUCUGUACUGGGGAGCUUCUUUCUUCUGUCUUCUCCCUUUCUCCUUGCCUAUUAAACUCUCCGCUCCUUAAAACCACUCCAUGUGUGUCCAUGUCAUAUUAUCUAAACCGGCAUGAGGACCAAGAACCCUGGUGUUCCUCCACUCAUCAGAGCCGUAUCAUUUUGGUGCAUGGGGCGGGAAAGGAAAUUCAAUCAUCAGACUGGUGAAUAUGGAGCAGAUUUCAACUUUAAAUCUGUCCUUUAAUCUCAAGGCUCUCUUCUAGCUACCCUGUCACCAAACUUUCUCUUUCUAUCUGUGGUCUCUUGCCUUCUCUCUGUGUGUCUUAUGUGCAGGAAUCUUUACAGUUCAGGGAAACAGUUCUGUUGGAAAAGAUCGUGAAUCAUGGCAGGCAGUAACUCAAUCAAUGUCUCCCUCUCUACAUUUUCUCUGGUGAGCACAUGGUAUUUCUAAGCUACCUAGUAGAAAUCAGGCCCUAGGCCUCUUCUGGGAAUGGGAAGUUUCUGCUUUUAACGGUUUGGAGUAAGAUGCCUUCCAAAGCCAAGUUUGAGUCUUGAUACUGUCCCACAGGCAGGAAAACAGCCAUUCGGUUCUUAUGUUCUGUUAAGGCAUCGAUUUUGUCUCCUAUUAAGACAGUACUUAAUUAGUAAGGGGAUUUUGAGUCUGGAGGUUAACCGGAACCAUUCUUCUAUGGGUACAUGCUUUAGCAUGGGCCAUAAUAGCAGAAUAUAGAGUUCAACCUAGCACGCCCCCCUCCCUUAAAGGGGCCUUGCCCAAUUACAUGGUUUUUUUGAGAUCCAUUUUUUGGAAGGCACAUAGGCCACACAAGUCUAGGAGAUCGAAGGGAAAUAAAAGGCAGAGAACUGAUUGCUUGGGGACAUGGUGACUAAGGCCCAAAACUCAGUUCCUCUGGUGCCAUGGCUUGGAGCGUCAUGCCUGCAGUCAUGGGCAGCACAUUUAAGCUGGUGCCGGGAAUCCAGGAGCGACGGAGAGAAAAUAGUUGGGAGGACACCCUCUACUGUUUUCAUCUCCAUCCUGGAUCACAUACUGAAAGGAAGGAGACUAAAAGGAUGCUUUUAUUCUCACUUCUCUUUCUAGAUGGGUAACAGAUCAUCUUCAACAUGCACUCCACUGGAGUGUAUGUUGAAGCAUUGGGACUCCUUUGACCUUGAAACUUUGAAGAACAGUGGCUUAUUUUCUUUUGCACAAGGGUAUGGCCUUUCUACUAGACCUUUGCAAGUGUUGCAAGAUCAACCCAGCUCUUUUAGCAACGAUAUCGGACAGGCCCAGGCAAAAUAGUUCCCCCAAAUUAAAAAAGUAACUUUCAAGGAAAUCAUCUGAGGGUCUUCCUUAUUUGGGGCCCCUUCAAGUUCCCUUCUUAUUGCAGGACCUUAGGCAAGUAAAGGGAAACUGAGGCUGACUUUUCUGACGACCCUGAGAGGUAUAUAGAAGCUUUCCAAAAUUUAACUCAGGUAUUUGAUCUCACAUGGAGGGAUGUUAUAUUGCUGCUAAGUCAAACCCUCACUGCAGCUAAAAACAGGCAACUCAGCAAGCAGAAGAAAAUUCUGGAGAUGAGCAGUAUGUCUCCUAUAGUAGGCCAGAAGGGAAAAGAGAAAAUAGGGAAGGCCAAGAAAUAGGGGAAUCACCAUUCCCAAUAGGAAGAGAGGUAUUACCUCUUAACAACCCUAAUUGAAACUCCUUUCUAUGGUGUUUUUUCCUUCUUUUGUGGUUUAAAAUGGCUUCUAUCUCUUGUAUAAUGUUCUUACAACCUGCCUGGGAAAAGUUAAUUUUCCAAAUCUUAAAAUGCUUGGUGUAGAGUUGAGCUAGGGACGAGGGAACCCAGAAGCCUGGCCGGCAAAAGGGUAAACAUUUCUUACCAGGUGGGCUUUUGGCUUCUCUCUCCCUGUGCAAACUGGUAAAAGGGAUAAUAAGGAUCACCGUUGAUGUUCUCUGUAAAUGUAUAAUUAAUGAAAAAGGAUUUGUAAGGUUGGUCUUAAGCUGCAGACAAUCUUGUGUACUUUGCAUGUCUUUCUAUAUGGUUCUGUCGGAGAAAGGGUGUCUUAGGUUAGGAUGCAGGCCCAGGAGCCAUUAAGCCUGCUGUUCAAGCCAGCCCAAGAAAGCGGUCGCUGGAAAACUUGGCUACAGGUCUCCAUCUUGUUUCAUGUCUUUGGAAACAUAAUCUGUAACCGCGUGGCAAUACUUUAUUUUAGUCUCCGCCAUUUUACAAUCGUGGCUGUCUUCUUGUGCUAAAUCAGAUAUGCCAGUUUGUCAAUCUGGGUGGUGCCAGCUGAUCCAUCAAGGGCAGGGUUUACAAAAUAUCUUAAGCACUAUCUUCAGAGCAGUUUAGGGAGGGUCAAAAUCUCGUAGCCUCCAGCUGCAUGGCUCUUGGGCCAUAGUUUAUAAUCCUGUGGCUAGUUUCUUGGUCUGGUCUCCAGGUAAGAGGGAAAUAUAUCUUGGAAAGCUGCUGUUACCAUCUUUGUUUUAGACUAUAGACUGUAAACCCGGCUGCUCCCAAAAUUGGUUCAGUCUAUGGCCAGGAAUGGGCAAGAACAGCUUGGGGGCUGGAAACAAAAUGGAGUUGUUUGGGUCAAAUCUCUUUCACUCUCUCAGUGACAGUUUUGCAUUGACAGUUUCAAAAGCUGCCUAUCACGCCUUAAAAAAUAUCUUGUACACUUGUGGUUAAGUCAUAACCUAAUUAAGGCUCAUUGGUUUCACCCAGAAGGGUACUUUUUGUAAAGUUCAAAAGGUGAAAAUCUGAACUGCUUGGUGUGGCUAAAGUCAAGUAACAAGAGAUAUAAAAGGAUUUUUUUAAAGAAUGCACAGCUUAAUUAAAAGUAGAUAUUCAAGUUUUAGGUAUAUUUUAAAGGUCUUUAUGUUUUUCUUUUCUCGAAUCUUGUUUUUCUAGAAAAAGGCUCUUUUCUUCUCAGUUAACUGAAUUAUUUUUCUCCAUUUUUUGUCUUACCACUCUUAAUGCAUGCAUAAAAGGCCCUAAAAUAACUUCUGGUAGUGUGGGACUCCUGGGGAAAAACAGAGGAGGUGCCACAAACCCCGUUUUGGGGAAAAAACCCUCCGUUUUCCUCGUGAAACUCCGGGAAUUAAAAGGAGAUAGAUCCCUUUCAAAAUCAAAGGCUCUGUCCUGUUUUGCAUUGUGUUAUCUGCCAGUUUUGAGUUUGGGGGGGAUCAGAAAUACUUUGCAUUAUGAGAGAACUUUGGUCUGUAAUAACUAGCUAAAAAAUACACUGUAAGGGAUGGCUAAUAGUAGUUAUAAAUCAGAGAAGCAUGCUCUUGGCCACCUGGAAGAUAAGGAAGCAUCCCCACUCCCUACUGGGAGAUGAGACUCCCAUCAGGGAUGGGCUAAUUACAAAAUAAACCAAUUGGCUUUGGGUUGCUUUGUAAUGAAAUGCAUGGUAGAAGCACUGCACCAUCUUCUCCCAUAACAUCUAUAUGGUCUUUUCAUAAAUUAAGCAUUAAAAUAAAAGCAUAGCAAGGAGGUCUUAAGACACUCAUCUGCCCUUUAGUAAAAGGGUUAUUAUAAAAGGUUUGUAAAGAUUUCACCUCAUGGUCAAAUUAGUUAGGAUUACAUGGAAUAAUCUAUAAGGUUUCAUGUAAACGAAUUGGGGUUAACAUUAAUAAACUAAUACAAGGGUAAAAUUUUGCUUUGAACAAAAUUUUCAUGUCAUAGUAAAGGCUAAUAAAGGUUUUUGCCUUUUGAGUCAUCAUUUUGGCAAAAUAAUUUAUGGCAACCUGGAAAUUGUCCUUCCUGAUGCCUGGCUUUUUGGAUGGUUCAAAGGGCUCCUGAAACAUUCAGAAAAGAGGUAGACAGGAUCAUUUGACAUGUUUAGUCAUAUGAGAUUGCCAAAAUGAUGUCCAAACUUCUUUAAGUUAUAUUUUGGUGAAUAAUACUAAUAUAUGUUCCAAAAUUAUAUGGGAUUUCUAAAAUUCUAAUAUCUAAGUAUAUACUAUCAAUUAUAAUUAAGGGUAAAGUUAUUAUAAGCCACAAAGAUAAAUAAACUUGUCAGUCGUAUUUUUAACUGGAACUAUCCUGGAAAUUUGUCAUUUUGCAGAAAAUUGUUAUCUUGCUUUGUUCCUUCUCAAAAGAUGGUUUAUAAUCAAGCUAUAUUAAGGACUUUAAUAGGUGUUCACAAAUGCAGGUUUUUAAUAGCUUUAAAGAUUGUAACAUUGAAAUAAAGAAUGUAUGAGACUCAUAAAGAGCUGACAUGUUGACAAAUGUAAAGCAAAACGAAAGUUAACUGAGUGGACUACACUUAGAAAGUUAAAGGAACCUUUUUAACUUUUGCUUGGAAUACUGCUGAUCCUUGUUUUGAUUUUCAGAGUCAAGGAAAGUUAUUUUAAACUAUUUAUGGCCUUUAAUAAUUGAGUAGGGUAUACUCCUGUGAACAAAAUUUGGACCAUGUUUAUUUUUCUCUGCCUGGUUCCUCUAGAAUUUGGAGACUCUCUGUGAGUACUCUUACGGCAAUAUAGUUGUUUGCAUCAGUGCAAUAAGAAUCCAUUUUUCUUUGUCAACAGGACACAAUUGGAAAAACUGGUUACUUUACCAAUGCUUUUACUGAAAGGGUGUGUUUCCCUUUAAGGAAUCAAGCUUGACAUGCAGAGCCAAUACAAGCCCCUUGGGGAGAACUGGCCUCAUAUCUUGUCUACACAGUCCCCACACAGGGUUCCUAACCUGUGGUCAGUAAAGAAUGUUACUUUCUAACAGGUCUGGAAGCUCUGAGUUUAUCUUGGGACCUCAAGAGGAGAGGAUCACACAACUCACAGGUAUUAGAGGAUACAAACCCAUGGGUGGGCUCAGCUUUAAAAGUCUUAUCGGAAAUUUUUGGUGGAACAGAGUUUCAUCAAAGCGAAUCCAAAAGGCCUAUGUAAAAGUAACAUUCUUGCUGCACUUUAUGCAAAUAAUCAGGCCAAGUAUAAGACUUAAGUUUACUGAUAAUUAGUUUUUAGCAAAAAUGAGGACUGGAGAGAAAAAUUUUGCUCCAAAGCUUAUCAUACAUUUGUCAUUAAAUCCUAGUCUCAUUAAUUGUUUUUAAGCCUUUUGCCUACAUUUUAGACUAACUCUGCUUAUUCCUGUCAAUCAAGUGGUGAUCUUCUGCAGGUUGGGAAAAAAAAAAAAGGGAUGGGUAAUGUAAAAAUGUGAAUCAAUAUGCUAGUUCUGGGCAAUUAUCUUGCAAAUUCUGCCAGGUAAUGAAAGUGAGUAAGGUGCCCAUAACCUGGAGGUUUCUUUGGGAAAAUAAAACCAAGGAACUUCAUAGACCCCCAAAGGGGAAUUCUAUAUCUUGGCAAGUAAAAUUUUAGAUGGAAGUUACCUACCACACCAUACUUGUGGGAAUUGCUGUCCUCACUCUACUAUUUGCAAUAGGGUUAUACAUGGUAGCACCUUCUAACUGUAAUAUUGGACAGAGAGUUUCCAUUGCUGUAGUAUUUUGCUUAAUUAUUAUCCUUAUAGCAGAGAUAAUAGUUGACAAAAAGGAAGCAUGAAAAUUUUACUAUCACUGAGUCAGCUAGGACUUUUUAUUGGGUUUAGUAAUGCAGUUUCAGAUGAAACAUGCUGCUUUUGGAUUAACACGUCUAGUACAGUAGAGGAAAAUCUACAGGUACUUAAAAAUCAAACCAAAGUUAUUGACAGGCUUAGGGAAAAUGCAUGCUUCAGCCCCGAGUGGCUACAAUUCCUCUUUAAUAAAUUCAAGCCUCUUUUUUUUUUAUACUUUAAGUUCUGGGGUACAUGUGCAGAACGUGCAGUUUUGCUACAUAGGUAUACAUGUGCCAUGGUGAUUUGCUGCACCCAUCAACCUGUCACCUACAUUAGGUAUUUCUCCUAAUGCUAUCCCUCCCUUAGUCCCUGACCCCUCAACAGGCCCCAGUGUGUGAUGUUCCCUGCCCUGUGUCCAUGUUUUUUUAUUGUUCAGCUCCCAUUUAUGAGUGAGAACAUGUGGUGUUUGGUUUUCUGUUCUUGUGUUAGUUUGCUGAGAAUGAUGGUUUUCAGCAUCAUCCAUGUCCCUGCAAAGGAUAUGAACUCAUCCUUUUUUAUGGCUGCAUAAUAUUCCAUGGUGUAUAUGUGCCACAUUUUCUUUAUGCAGUCUAUCAUUGCUGGACAUUUGUGUUGGUUCCAAGUCUUUGCUAUUGUGAAUAGUGCCACAGUAGACAUGUGUAUGCAUGUGUUUUUAUAGUAGAAUGAUUUAUAAUCCUUUGGGUAUAUACCUAGUAAUGGGAUUGCUGGGUCAAAUGGUAUUUCUAGUUCUAGAUCCUUGAGGAAUCACCACACUGUCUUCCACAAUAGUUGAACUAAUUUACACUUUCACCAACAGUGUAAAAGUGUUCCUAUUUUUCCACAUCCUUUCCAGCAUCUGCCGUUUCCUGACUUUUUAAUGAUCGCCAUUCUAACUGGCAUGAGAUGGUAUCUCAUUGUGGUUUUUAUUUGCAUUUCUCUAAUGACUAGUGAUGAUGAGCAUUUUUUCAUAUGUUUGUUCCCUGCAUAAAUGUCUUCUUUUGAGAAGUGUCUGUUCAUAUCCUUUGCUGACUUUUUGAUGGGGUUGUUUGUUUUUUCCUUGUAAAUUUGUUUAAGUUCUUUGUAGAUUCUUGAUAUUAGCCCUUUGUCAGGUGGAUAGAUUGCAAAAACUUUCUCCCAUUCUGUAGGUUGCCUCUUCCCUCUGAUGAUAGUUUCUUUUGCUGUGCAGAAGCUCUUUAGUUUAAUUAGAUCCCAUUUGUCAAUUUUGGCUUUUGUUGCCAUUGCUUUUGGUGUUUUGGACAUGAAUUGUUUGCCCAUGCCUAUGUCCUUAAUGGUAUUGCCUGAGUUUUCUUCUAGGACUUUCAUGUCUUUAGGUCUUACGUUUAAGUCUUUAAUUCAUCUUAAGUUAAUUUUUGUACAAGGUUUAAGGAAGGGGUCCAGUUUCAGUUUUCUGCUCAUGGCUGGCCAGUUUUCCCAACACCAUUUAUUAAAUAGAGGAUCUUUCCCCAUUGCUUGUUUGUGUCACGUUUGUCAAAGAUCAGAUGGUUGUAGAUGUGUGGUGUUAUUUCUGAUGCCUCUGUUGUGUUCCAUUGGUCUACGUAUCUGUUUUGGUACCAGUACCAUGCUGUUUUGGUUACUGUAGCCUUGUAGUAGAGUUUGAAGUCAGGUAGCGUGAUGCCUCCAGCUUUGUUCUUUUUGCUUAGGAUUGUCUUGGAUACGCGGGCUCUAAUUUGGUUCCAUAUGAAGUUUAAAGUGGUUUUUUCCAAUUCUGUGAAGAAAGUCAAUGGUAGCUUGAUGGGGAUAGCACUGAAUCUAUAAAUUACUUUGGGCAGUGUGGCCAUUUUCCCGAUAUUGAUUCUUCCUAUCUAUGAGCAUGGAAUGUUUUUUCCAUUUGUUUGUGUCCUCUCUUAUUUCUGUGAGCAGUGGCUUGUAGUUCUCCUUGAAGAGGUCCUUCACAUCCCUUGUAUGUUGUAUUCCUGGGUGUUUUAUUCUCUUUGUAGCAAUUGUGAAUGGGAGUUCACUCAUGAUUUGGCUCUCUGUCUGUUGUUGGUGUAUAGGAAUGCCUGUGAUUUUUGCAGAUUGAUUUUGUAUAAUGAGACUUUGCAGAAGUUGCUUAUCAGCUUAAGGAGAUUUUGGGCUGAGACGGUGGGGUUUUCUAAAUAUACAGUCAUGUCAUCUGCAAACAGAGACAAUUUGACUUCCUCUUUUCCUAUUUGAAUACCCUUUAUUUCUUUUUCUUGCCUGAUUGCCCUGGUCAGAACUUCCAAUACUAUGUUGAAUAGGAGUGGUGAGAGAGGGCAUCCUUGUCUUGUGCCGGUUUUCAAAGGGCAUGCUUCCAGCUUUUGCCCAUUCAGUAUGAUAUUGGCUGUGGGUUUGUCAUAAAUAGCUCUUAUUGUUUUGAGAUAUGUUCCAUUGAUACCUAGUUUAUUGAGAGUUUUUAGCAUGAAGGGAUGUUGAAUUUUGUCAAAGGCCUUUUCUGCAUCUAUUGAGAUAAUCAUGUGGUUUUUGUCAUGGGUUCUGUUUAUGUGAUGGGUUAUGUUUAUUGAUUUGCAUAGGUUGAACUCAGGUCUUCUUUAUGGAAUUGGUUAACCCCCAUUAUUAAGCACUUUCUUGCUUAUAAGUCUUGUAUUGAUAUUUGGACCCUGUAUACUCAAUACUAUAACUCAAAUUGUUUCUUCUUGCCUAGAAGCAAUCAAACUUCAAAUGGUGGUGUAAAUUGAACCACACAUGGACAUGCCAUUCUUCUGAGGACCAUUAGAUUGACCCCAAAAGGAGCCCUAGCAGCUGUUCCCCAUUCAAUGCCCCUUUUCAGCAGGAAGUAGCCAGAAGGAGUCGUCACUCAAAACUCCCUAACAGCAGUUAGUGUGGCAUCUCCACAGGGGGGAAUGUUGUAGGAAAAGGGGUCCUUGGGAAGUUUUCAUUUUUUAAAGCAUCUCCAAUAAAGUUUGUUGUAAAGCCCAGGCUCUUAGAGCAAGGCCAGCAACCUUUGAUAUGCAAAUGCCAGCCAUUAGAAACUGGGUCCACCCAAACAUGGAGAUUCCCGCUGCCUUCUUGCCCUUUUCCCCACAUGUUCCUGGCAACAUGGCUGCUCCCACAUAUCACCACGGGUGUAGAACAUCACGGUGUCCUGCAUUUGCAUAUUAAAAGGCUAGGGUGGGAGGGCCAGCUAUUUUGAAGGCUAAGUAAAUGACAUACCUAGUCAAACAAAUCCCCUGAGCCCUACGCAAAUCAAACACCACCUCCUCCAGCCUCUGCAUGUAUACCUGGCUGGUACCCAUGGCAGGUGGGGACCUCCUCUUUCGGCUUUGGAGCCCCACUCCCUCUGUCUCUGUACAGGGGAGCUUCUUCAUUUUCUCUUAUCCCUUCCUUCUUGGCUAUUAAACUCUCUGCUCCUUAAAACAACAACAACAACAACAACAGCAACAGCAGUGGUUUGAAGCCCCAGUGCAUGAAAUUUGGAGUAGAAAUUCCCCUGACUCUGGUUUUGUAUCACACAGGAGAAGGUAAUUGCAGGUACAAGUUACCUAGACAAAAAGUGGCUGAGUCUGACUGGGGCCUGCCAUUUGCGGACAGCACUGAGGUUAAAAUUUUGUCUUAAGGCCACAGAAGGGAUGCUGGAACAACUCCAGACAACACUAUUAGAACCUUGAGAUUUUUCUUUAUGUGCUUAAAAUGAGAAGAGUCCAGAAUGAUUACUGUGAUCAGUGAUUAUAAUAUCCUCUAUUUGCAUGUCAAAAUGAAAACACCCAAGUGAUAGCCACAAAAUCAAGCAAUACAUGACUUAAUUUGUUUCUUUCCUUUCUGAAGCCUAGGUAGAUAGAGAAUUACAAAUGGGCAAAGGUACAAAGGGUAAGUAAUCAUAUCAGUGCAUUAAUUUAGAAUGUCUGAAACAGGGCCUGGUGGCAAUGACACCAGGAGAGAAGGUAAUAUUAACAAAGCUGCUAUUUGGGUAUCAGCAUUAUAUUUUAUAAUGUGCCCAUCAUAUAAUUAGGCAUUGUUAUCAAUGGCAAAGAUAUGGAAUCAACCUAAGUGUCCAUUAAUAGAUAAAUGGCUAAAGAAAAUGUGGGUAUACAUAUGCACACACCAUAGUAUAUAUGCACCAUGGUAUAUAUACACUCCCCCCCUCUCUCUGUUCCCUGCCCCAUCUCUUUGUCUCCUUGUUAUUGUCCCUUUCUUGCUCUCCUCUUCCCCUCCUCCUUCUCUGUAUCCCCCGAACCCCAUCCUCCUCAAAGUGGUCAAGGGCACAGCUGCAGAGGUGUUCCUUACCUGCCCUCAAGGAUGGCUUUGGCUUUGCCCGAGGCCACAGUGGGGGCGAUGCCCAGAGCCUGGCAGAACGACCUCACCACUUAUUGAGCACCUGCUCUGUGAGAGGCGGGGAUCCAUUGGCUGAGAGGGACCCAUCUGGAGUCACACAGACCUGGGCUUGCCUCUCCCAUCCCUUGUUUAGCUGUGUGACCAGGGGAAAGUCACCCUCUCUGGGUGUCUGCUUCCUCACUGGUGAAUUGGGGUAAAUGCCACAGGGCUGCUGUGAAGACUGAGUGAAAGCAUGUAUGUAAAUCACUUGGUGUAGUGCCUGGCCAGAAAAUAAUGCUGGAGAGAACACCAUAAUCUUGGCUGGCAUUAUUUGUAUUGUUGGGCCCUGUACUGGGAGCUUCUCAUUUACUAUUUCCUUGAAUCUCUCUUUUUUUUUUUCUUAAGAAAAAAAAAAAAAGAUUUCCUUCUUUAAAGUAGGAAAUCCUGUCAUUUGCAACAACAUGGAUGAACUUGAAGAAUGUUAUGUUAAAAUUAAUAAGCCAGACACAGAAAAACAAAUACUGCAUGAUCUCACUUACACGUGGAAUCUAAAAAAGUUGAACUCAUAGAAGUAGAGAGUAGAAUGGUGGUUACCAGGGAGUGGGGUGGGCUUGGGAGUGGAGGACAUUAGAGAGAUGUUGGUCAAAGCAUAUACUAAAUAGUUAGAUAGAAUCAAUAAGUUCAAGUGAUCUAUUGUAGAACAUGGUGAUUAUAGUAAAAAGCGAUGUAUUGUAUACUAGAAAAUUGCUGAGAGAGUAGAUUUUAAAUAUCCUCACCACAAAAAAUAAUUAUAAGUAUUUGAGGUAAUUAUUUAAA